UUCUCAUUAGCAUCAGUAUCUAUAGUAUAUGCUAUUUGUUUUCCAUUUGAAGAUGCACUAAGGAUAACACUAUAGAAGCUACAGCUGUGUAUUUUAAAAUAAGAACAAAGAAUACAUCUAUUUUAUAUAUUUUGAACUCAGAAUUUGCCAUUUUGUGAUGAUUUCCAGUGUGAAAUAAUUAACGCCAAAAGAAACUCUCCAGAACUUGCUUUAUUCCUACAGAUCUUUGUGUGGAGU
rnacentral:lncRNA from 1 species